GGGUAGAGCAUUUUUAUUAUUAUUAUUGAUUAUUGUUGCUUAUCUAUUAGCAUGACACAAAGGAAGAAAGAAGAAAUUCUAUCACAACUUAUGAUAAUUGAUAAUACACAUUAUAUGGUAAAAGAAGACAAAAAGAAAACCUGUAAAUAAAGCAGCUACCGCGCCUAAUGUAUAUUAUACUAUUUAACAACUGAGGAGGGAAACGAUUUUCUCUUCUUCUAAGGUUUAUAGUUAUCUGUAUAAAUAUAGUCGGUGUGAGCCAUAAGUGUUUUCCUCAUCAAACAUUCAU
rnacentral:lncRNA from 1 species